UACGGAGGGGGCAAGCGUUGUUCGGAAUUAUUGGGCGUAAAGCGUAUGUAGGCGGCUAAGCAAGUCAGGCGUGCAAGCCCGUGGCUCAACCACGGAAUUGCGCUUGAAACUGCUUGGCUUGAGUACAGGAGAGGAAGGCGGAAUUCCCAGUGUAGCGGUGAAAUGCAUUGAUAUUGGGAAGAACAUCUGUGGCGAAGGCGGCUUUCUGGUCUGUUACUGACGCUGAGAUACGAAAGCCAGGGUAGCGAACGGG
rnacentral:rRNA from 1 species